UGCUGGUGGUGACCGCCGCCAUGGUGAGCACGGUGCUUGUUGUUGUGGUGGUAAUCCGUCUCGUCCUCGUCUUCUUCAUGUUCGUCAUCGUCGUCCUCCUCCUCCUCCUCCUCCUCAGAAUCUAUGUCAUCAUCGUCAUCCUCGUCCUCCUCAUGAGUUACCAUGCCAUCUUCUUCUACCAUGGCGGCUCCUCGCUUCCCCCCCACGGACACAGAGGUCGGUGGGUGGUGGAAGCAGAGCUGCUGCUGCUGCUGAUCCGCGUGCGGUGGAGGUGGCGGCUGCUGCAUCUGCUGAGCGGGCGUGGCGGCGGCGGCGGCAGUGGCGUGGUGGUAGGCGCACAUCUCACGGAAGAAGAGGUGCUUGGAGUUGAGGAGCUUGCGGGCCUCCUCCUUGGCCUUGGGGGAGAGGUGCUCCAUGGUGUCUAGGAGGGCCUGGUUCUCCACCACCCGGCACGCCGUCCCCUUCCCCAGCAGGUCGUUUACUCGCUUGUACCGCUUGUUCAGGUCGUUGAACUUGUCUUCGCACUGCUGCGGCGACACGUAGAACCCUUUCUCCAUCAUCGCCCGCGACACCGACUUCCACUUUCCCUUCUUCUGCAGCAGUGCCGACGCCGAGGUCGCCGAAGCCGAUGCCGCCGGUCCCUUCUUGCCCUUUGCCGCGGAGGAGGCGGAGACGGCCGCGUGGGGCUGGUGCGGUUCCCCUUCGCCCCCGCCCCCACCAUCGUCCCCCACGCGGUAGACCACCGAGAUGAGGAGCCGGACCAUGCUGUCCGUCCACUUCAUCCGCUGCCACGGAGAGGGCGUCGGCGACUGCGACGACACCCGCCUCGCCCCGUCGCCCUCGUCCCCGAAUCCGGGCUGCAGCUCGUCUUCGGAGCUCAGCGUCAGCUGCUGCUGCCUCCCUCUGGCGCCGUAGGGGGUGUAGGAGGAGGAGGAGGAGGCGUGCCUCAUCUGGUGGUCGGCGGCGUCGCUGCCCGACUGGGGGGUCUGGAAUGGAAAGAUGGGGUGCUGCUGCUGUUGC
rnacentral:lncRNA from 1 species